UUACGACCGCAUCAAGUCGAAACAGCCGUUCUCGUACGAUCACCAAAGUCAAGUAAAGUCGAGCCGGGUCAGUAACUAUAUGGGUGACUGCUUGGGAAUACCAUGUGCUGUAA